UUCAUGUUGGCCAGGAUGGUCUCAAUCUCCUGAUCUCCCAAAGUGCUGGGAUUCUAGGGUCAGCCACUGUGACCAGCCAAUUUUCUCAUUGUUAAAACCCUCUCAGGCCCUGCCAAUAGAUGACAACUGUGUGCCAGUGGUUAGAAGGUGGUCUGCCCCAGGUCUCUCUAUUUAAGGUGGAGUGAGGCUUCAAGGACUGAAAGUCUAGACUCUCAACCAGAUUCCUGCCUGCCUGCAGUCACCUGAUGAAAUGCUGAACCUGUUCGGCUCUCUUGUCCAUCUCUUUCCCACCUGUAAAAUGGAAUAAUGAUAGCCAGCUGCCAUAGCUUGACUCUAGUAAAGGAUCUAGAACAAAAGCCCUUCCCCUGCCUUAAUUGUAGGGUAGAAACCCUUUAAUGAAUGGGCUUCUUCCCUCAGGGAACUGACUCUGCCCCCUAGAGUUUUUCUUCAAGAAACAAAGUCCUUGUGAUACUCAUCUGGAAUGUUGUAUGUAUGACCUUCCCCAAAGGGACUGAGUGUUUCUGGUGCUUUCCAAUGGGAAUGUGGGAAGGGACUCAGAUGGGCCUGUCCACUUUGGGAUUGCUGUCCCUGAAGAAACCCUUUAGCCUGAUGGAAACAUCAUUGUUGGAAGCAAUGAAGUGUGUGAGCGAAGAAAACAUACAGCCUUUUUUAAGCUAUAUGGCUCAGUGGUCUGUAUUUCUAUAGAUCUCUUAUUGCCUAAUCUGGCUUCUUUGGAUGGAUAUAUGCUUAGUUGAAGCACCUCAGCUCCCUUUGCAGAUGGUGGCAGUUCUGCGUUUUUUCUUGGGGAAACCCCAUUAGAAACCUCAAAAGUGGAAAUUUUUAGUAAUCUUAUUCAGGUCCCCAAAUGAAAUAGAAGUGUCUCAGGGGCUCCCCCGUGAAACACCUACUUCUUCUGAGUGUAUGUUUGAGGUUGCUCUUAAAAUUCUGUUACCAUCACAGGGUUUUCCAGACUUCCUAGGAAUAAUUUCCCCAGUAGCCCUGUGGAGCCCUUUAGCUUCUGUCAAAAAUUACCUGGGUAUUUUUUCAGGGGGCUCUAAUGGAACCUGGAGAGUUUUCUUGACUUUUGUAUGGGUGUCCCCAGGUUUGUUUGGGCUGCGUGAAGCAGCAGUUGUUAUCUCUGUCCCUUCCCUCAACAGAUGUCUAUCCUGAGGCCAGUGGGCUUGAACGUCCUCCUCUGCGUCUGACCUUCCUGAUUUUACCAUUGCCCUCAGCCUUCCAUCAUGGGGCUUUCUUUCAGCAACUGUGGUUUUGCCUGAGUUUAAUAUGGAUAGACAAGGGGUAAUUCCCAGUGCGCUGCUUUUUUACAGAAGCAUAAUCUCCUACUGCCUUAAUUAAGCAGGGGCCCUAUCCCCACCCAACCUCCAACCUAAUUCCGUAGAGUCCUCCCUAAGGACUCCCUCUCUUUUCUUUGAAGGAGUCACUCUGCUCCUGGAUCCUCUUCUCUUCUGCCCCUCUAACUGGUAGUCUGUCUUCCUUGCUCCCAGUUGGCAGACCUGAGUCAGACAAUCCCACUGGGUCUUUUUGUUUAGCCUUGGGAAGAGAAGACCGAGAAGAAUAUGAUCACCAGCUUCAGAUCUCUGAAGGAAGAGGGACUGAGUCUUUUUUUAUUGGUAUGGUACCUGGCAAAACUUGGAUACAUGAAAAGAAGUUAACAGUUGUAGAGCUUAAAUUAGUGUGGAGAAAACAUUUCUAACAGAUUUACCCUCUCCUAGAUUUAGGAGCUCCUCAAGGUGGAGGCCACAUCUUGUCGAUGCUUAUUUACUCACCACUGAGCAGAGGCCUUGGGCAUAGUAGAGACCUAAUGAAAGAGAAACCCACUAAAUUUCUGAUGAAACAGACCCUUAUCAAGCCAGAAUAACAGUAAUGGGAGUGGCUGUUUACCUACUAAUUCAUUCAUUGAGUCAAACAAUGUUUAUUGACCUCCUACUAUGUACCAGGCAGUCUUAGGUACUGGGAAUACAGCAGCAAACAAAACUAAGUUUCUGUCCUCAUGGAGCUCACAUUCCAAUGAGGAGUGACAGGCAAUAAAUAUAUAAUUACAUGUUUAUAUCAGAUGAUUGCACAUGCUAUGAAGAAAAUAAAGCAGGUUGGGGCAUAGGGCAUGUCUAGCAAGGGAGGGUGGGGCUACAGUUUUAAUAGAGUGAUCAAAGAAGGUGUAAGGGAUCAAAAAAUGGCUUUACCCUUCUAGGUUCUUUGGCUGGGCUGAGAAUUAAAUUGACAAAGACAGAUUAACUGGAGGAAAAAAAAUUUAAUUACAUAGGUAUGCACAGGAGUCCUACAAAAUUUGAGGCUCAAAGAAGGGUCAGAUAAUUGAAGCUUAUAUAGCAUCCUGAGCUACCAAAAAAGAAUGUAGGGUCCUCUUACAACCACAUGAAUAGUUGCAGAAAUAAAAAAAAGAAAAAGAAAAAAGAAGGAAUAUGGGGCUUGGGACUUCUGUUAGGGGCUUGAGUGGCAGCAACUGAAGUUAUGGCGGGGUAAGGGAAAGUAUUGGUGGUGGCGUGCGUCUGUGAUCCCAGCUACUGUGUAGGGGGGUGCUGAGGUGGGAGGAUCACUUCAGCCUGGGAGGCGGAGGUUGUGGUGAGCCGAGAUCAUGCCACUGCACUCUAGCCUGGGUGACAGAGCAAGACCCUGUCUCAAAAAAAAAAGUCUCUGGUAAUAAAGUUUGUGUGGAGCAGCCCUCUUCCUAAUACAGAUACUUUUACUAGUGGAGAGUUCCUUUUUAGAUGUGAAUUUCUUUUACAAAAGGACAGCUUUUCAGAGCUACUCGUGUCUGCAGUUUCUCAGAAUAACCAGCUUAAAAUCUGCCAAAGAAGUUUAUUUUUGGGAUGGCAUAUUCUGGUUUCCUACAGUCAUAUUUUGGGAUGGUAUGUCCUGAGUCCCGACAAAAGUAUUACCUAAAGGUGAUAUUUGAGCCAAGAGCUGAAUGACGUGAGGUGGUAGAUGAUGUAGGUACCAAAGGGUGUUUCAAACAGAGGGAAUGGACUCAGGAAGGAGCAUGCUUGACAUUUUCAGGGAUGAACAAGAAAGUCAAUGUGGCUGGAGAAGCAAUAGCAAAGGGGAAAAGUGUAGAAGAUGAGGGGAGAGAAUGGUUGGGGAGUAGGGUGGAGAUGUAGGUGGGACCCAGAUCACAUCGAGCGUUACAGACCAUGAUGAAGAUUUGGCUUUGGUGGAAUAAGAGGCCAAAGGAUUUGGAGUGCGGUGAUAUGGUCUGAAUUCUUAAGUGUGGCAACAGGGAGCCCAGUGAAGAGGCUGGUGCAAUUGCCAGGUGGAAAAGAAUGGUGGCUUAGACCUAGAGGUGGAAGUGUGGCAAGGAGGGACUGGAGACUAAGACUAGGCAUGCACGUGGUAUAUUGAUGUAUCCAGCUGUCCUUGCAACCAUAUUUUUAAUCU